AAGUCGUAACAAGGUUUCCGUAGGUGAACCUGCGGAAGGAUCAUUAAUGAAUGAAUGUAGAGUCGGUUGUAGCUGGGUCUUUUAAUCGAGGCCAUGUGCACGCCUUCUCUUUCAUCCACACACACCUGUGCACCUGUUUAGACGGUCGAAGGAAAAAGUCUUUCUCGCGAGAGAGAGGCUGGCUCCUUUUCCGUCCAAUACAUAAAAUCUUAUAUAUUUAAUCAGAAUGUAAUCGAUGUAAACGCAUCUAUAAACUAAGUUUCAACAACGGAUCUCUUGGCUCUC
rnacentral:misc_RNA from 1 species